rnacentral:antisense_RNA from 1 species
ACAUCCUCCUGAGUAGGGGCCCCUGGCUGUCCAUUUAAUGUAAGCCUGUGUUGGCCCUCCCCUUCAGGCAAAGCACCACCAAGUGCUGAGAGAACGUCUGAGCUGGCGUCAUUUGUAAUCACUGGCUUCUCAGGGAACCCAUUUUAUUAUGGCUUCUUGAGUUUUCUUUCCUGAAGCCACAGCCAGUCCUUCUUGGCUGACUCCAAGUGUGGUCAGGGAGCAGUGGUAACCCAUGUCUGUCUAUUGCAAGUCUGCACUGCCACUCAAAGCCUGAGGUACAGCUGCUGCUGCGGGUCUGUUGAUCUGAACUGCUGAUUUGAAGUGGAUUGAAAGGAUGGAACAAUAGAAGGAGGAUACGGCUCAGAACAGUCAAGUACUGGAAGAGGAAAGGUACAAAGAGGUGUUGGCACUGAAUGACCCUGAACAGGGCUGCACUGGAAAUAUCAGAGAGACAGAGUUUCACCAUGUUGCCCAGCCCAGUCUUGAACUCCUGGACUCAAGCAAUCUUCCCACCUUUGCCUACCAGAGUGCUGGGAUUACAGGUGUGAGCCAUCAUGCUAGUUGCGCACAGUUGGGCGAACUGACAGAUGAGAAAGCAGAACCUUGUGAGUCCCACUCAGUAAGAGACUCCCUGCUUUCUUUCUGAAUCUUUGUUUCUCAUCAAUUGAAUGGCAGUAAUCAACUUGGUGGCCCAAGAGUUGAUGACAACAGUCCUAUAAGAUUAUACAUGUAAAAGAAACAGAGUAUUCUACAAAUAUCAGUUAUCGAUAGUUCAAUAGGCAACCUGACAUUACCUUUUCUUGGAACUUGAUGAACAACUCAGAAACUCAUUAAUAUCAAACCCAAUGGUGAGCACUUGGUCUUUAUUUAUGGCUGUAAGAGAAGAAAUUAAAUUAACUCUAUGUAAAUGCCAACUAAGAACAUGCAAGUCUGAAAUCAACAGUUUUCCUUGCUCAUACAACACACCCAAACUCCAAGCAGUGGUUCCAAGCCCCUUUGGAAAAUACCAUGGGCUAAGGACUUUAAAAGCUUAGAAGUGAAUUCUACUUACUUAUUACUUAAAAGUGGUUCUCAAACUUCAAUGUGAAUCAAAAUCAUCUGUAGAGCUUGUUAAAACACAGGUUGCUGGUCCUACUCUGAGAGUGUCUGAUGCAGUAGGUCUCAAGCAGGGCUCAAGAAUAUGCAUUUCUAAUGAGCUCCCAGGUGAUGCUAAUGUUGAUGCUGCUGGUCUGGGGACCACAACUUUGGGAACAAUUGAUUUAGAAGAACUCAAAGAUCAGAAAGGGGUGGAAUAUUUUUUAAACUGUGGUAAAAUACGCAUAAACAGAAAAGGUACAAUUUUAACCACUUAGAGAGAGGUGGGAUCUAAGAACAGAAAUUGUUAUGCCAUCAAAGGUGAGUUCAGAUAAGCAUUAUUAAAUGGUAUCAAUGGAUGAACUUCAGGGGCCCUCUGGAGCCAACCCAAUGCUGGGAGGGGGUCCAGGUGUGCUAUGGUUUGGAUGUGGUUUGUCCCUACCAAAACUCAUGUUGAAAUUUAAUUGCCAAUGUAACAUUGUUGAGAGGUUAUGGGACUUUUAAGAGGCAUUUGGGUCAUGAGGGACCCGCCCUCAUGAAGGGAUUAGUGCAGUCUCCAGGGAGUGAGUGAGUUCCCAUUCUAGUGGGACUGGAUUAGUCACCAUGACAGUGGUUGUUAUAAAGUGAGGCUGCUUCUGGUGUUUUAUCUAUUUGCAGGCACUUCCUUCCCCUUCCACUUCUCUGCCAGGUUAGGAUGCAGCAUGAGGCCCUCACCAGAAGCUGACCAGACGUGUCUGCCUGAUCUUGAACUUCCCAGUCCCCAGAACCAUGAGCUAAAUAAACCUUUUUUCUCU